UAUGUUAGCUUGCUAAUAUAUUUAGUAGCAAAUGGGUGAGUAACACGUACCUAACCUACCUUUUGGACCGGGAUAACUAUUGGAAACAGCAGCUAAUACCGGAUAAAAUAAAAAAAAUGCAUGUUUUUUUAUUAAAAGGAGCCUUUAAAGCUCCACCAAAAAAUGGGGGUGCGCAACAUUAGUUAGUUGGUAGGGUAAAGGCCUACCAAGACGAUGAUGUUUAGCGGGGCCAAGAGGCUGUACCGCCACACUGGGAUUGAGAUACGGCCCAGACUCCUACGGGAGGCAGCAGUAAGGAAUAUUCCACAAUGAGCGAAAGCUUGAUGGAGCGACACAGAGUGCAG
rnacentral:rRNA from 1 species